AACUGUUCCAAGCAUCGCCCGUCUUUGUACAUUUCUCGUGUCCUACAAUCAGCCAUCUAGCCAUGCGUGGCAGCGGCAUUAUAAUGAUGUGUCUUCUGAUAUCGACCAGCGUGUCUUCUGCGCCCGCCGUUCGGUCACUCGCUAACAUGGUCUCCAUUGACACUAGGGGCUUGGAAGUACCAACAAAUUUCUUAGCAGCCGGCGGUUCUGGAACUGGGGCCUUACAAAUCGUCGUCAACGUACGGACAGACAGUCUUGGAAAUAUCGAGGUUAUCACCAACUAAAGCAUCUUAAAAUAAGCAUAUUAAAUACUUAAUAUAUGAAAAUAUUCAUAGUAUGAUGUAGUGACGUGCUCCGAAACACGAACUUCUCACACAGACUCACACAAGUUGUGACUAAGAUCAACAUCUCGUCGACUAUAAACAAGGAUAUUGAACAUAAUCUCCUUAAUGCAAGGAACGUGAUAUAAUUUGUAGUGAAGCUGCUGAUUCUGCUACGUUAGUUUCAUUAUACAAUAGAACAAUUAGAGGAUAAGUUUAGUGCAUUUAAUAUUAUAUGAUAAUAUUAUAGUCAGCAAGCCGGUGGUAUUAAACUAGUCCCUUAAGCAAUAUGCGUGGCGAGGUAUCACGUAUCUCGCCAUGCUCACAUCGGCUUAUCAUCGAUAUGAGCGUCUCUCUCAACGGUAUUUAUUGCUCACACGUCGGACGCUUCUAAUUCACACCCUUCUAUUGACUGACUCAUCUUUCACAGAAUUUAAUAAAGAAUUCUAUUGCAUAUUAUUUCACUCUAUACUAUAGCUAUGAUUUAUUUGACAUCUGCUCUAGAAAUUUAAUUAAUAACAUUACUCGAAGGCGACAUAGAGCAUAUUAGCAAUAUUGUUUGUUUUGUUAAUGUUUAAAUAUUACGUUUUAAGCAAUUCUGUUGUUGAUUAAAAAAUCAUGAAGACUCUAAAGAAAUAUAACAAUACACGCAUAAGAUACUGAGUUGUUUUCGAUAUUAGGAUUCAAAGGUAUACUAGGUUACAUCAGUAAAUCAAAGUACUAGAACAUUUUACUUUUCAUUUCUAUUUAAAUAAUAAUUAAAAGUCAGAAUAAUAUACGAGACUAUAUUACUUCAGGAGUUUUAAACUUCUGUAAUUGAACAUCCGUGUAAGGCUUUGUAUAUAUAAAGUGUUCUACAGCGGAGGUUUUUAGGAGUUAUUUCUUAUUGUAAUUUACUUAAUUUAUGUGAAUAAAACAUAUUUUUGUAAAUAUUUUUUAAUUACAAAC